UCAUCGUUAAUUCACUAGUUAAAUGGGAAUUCUGUCAUCAUUUUAUGGUUAUUAUUUUGACUACGUUUGUUAGGCAGCCGCAUUGAAGGCAUUGACAAUUUCAUCGACAGAAGCAUGCACUGACAUGCUGCGUUCAUAUUCAACAACAUACAUUCCAAGUGACCUGAAACUGGCUAAAAAAACGUUGUCUAAAUUUAUCUUUCAGCUCAAGACAGACAGUGUUUUCUCUAUGGACAGUGUAUAUUUAAAUUGGACUUCAUUGGAAAUGGGCUGGAUCGACUCCGGCCUAAUGGGCGUUCCUGAUGCUCAUUACGUGAUGUAGACAAAGAUGACACAACUAUCAGGAAAACAUAACCACAGACUCAAUCGUGAAAGGGCAAAAGAACUCACCAAUUUUUCAUAGAUAGCCAAAAAUUGUGUCACUCAUCAAGCUUCCUAUAAAAAUUCUGGAUAUGAAAUUAAUUAAGAUAUAGUGUAAAUUUUAUUUUUUAAAUGUUUUCCUCUGCAAUAAUCUCAAAAAUAAUGUUAGCAAUAUGUAGUAAUUCUUGUAGGCUUCAUGUUUAUUAAUAUUGUAUUAUUACUGCUAAUGUUUAUCUUAUCAAUAGAGAAAGUAGGCCUAACCCGUUUGUUGUAAAGAAUAUAGACAUGUAAGAUAAUAAGAUUAAAAAUUUUGAGGAUUAAAAUCAGAUUUAUUGAUUUUUGCCGGAUGUACAUGAUAUAGGCCUACAGUAUAUAAAUAUAAAAUGUAUAUAUAUAUAUAUACAUAUAUAUAUAUAUAUAUAUAUAUAUAUAUAUAUAUAUAUCACAACUUGAUUUCAAUGCUUAAAAAUAAAUAUCAAAUGUAAUUGUGCAUUCCUUCUCAUCUUAUUUAAUGUCUAUGUUUACUGUAAUAAAUUCAAUAGCUAAAUUAGCUUAUAAGCUUAAACCACAAGUGAAGAAUUGCUUCAUCAAUAAUGUGCUACUUUAUCUAUU